GUUUUGUAAUUCCAUCAUGAGUUGUACUCAACUGUUAUCCAACAUAUCUUGGAGCAUGCACCAGGAUGCUCCCUGACACAGCUCACUUUGCAAGUAAUUCUUAGACACACACUUUCUCCACCAGGCCUGUCUAGUUGAAGUUCUCUAUAUCCCUGCCCCCCUCCCCACCCUGGUUAAGCAUAGGACUUCCAUGGUUACAUCCCAUUUAUUCCUUUCCCAAACAUGCUUAAUGCAUUUCAUCUCCAGUUACAAACAUCGUCUGCUAAUGAACAAUGUAGAUAGUUACCAUGUUGUAUAAAUAGUUACUUAUUUCCCUUCGUUGUUGGUUUUAUCCAAUAAACUAGCCCGAUCAGCUUCAUUUUAUAUCACCUUAUCUCAUACAGAUGAGAAACUGUAUGUAUUUCAGCCUGUCUAAACUGGAGGUAACGCUAGACUGCAGUAUCCCUGCACAGUGUCGUAUUAGAAAUGGCACCCUAUAAAUUUUUUAUGAGUUAAUAAUGAUUGUGAUCCCAUUCCUAUUUUCUACAAGUUCUUCUGUUAUGGUGGCAAUUAAAUAGCCUCACCUUCCUUUCACUUUCUGCAAACCUGCUGCAAGUCAUCAUUAACUUUCUUAAUUGGUAGCGGCUCUGAAUUCCAGUCUUUCAGAGUUCCCGUAAACAGCAUCUUUCUUAAUACUUAUGUCAUAAUGUUUUUCUCCUUUCCUUGCAUUUCAUUCUGCCUUUGGGCAGGAACAGCAUCAUUUCCUGCUCUUCUGGGGUUUCAACACUGACUGCAAAGCACCCUUGCUCAUCUCACUGGGAGAUUCUGCAGCCAAGCAGAGAUUUGCAUAAAGCCCAUCCACCCUUCACCAGCACAGGAUACGCAGACUUAACUGCAGGGACUCUUGGUGACUAGUCUCUGUGGUGCACACUCUCCACCCUACCACCAAAAAGGUCCCCAGUACCCUAAAAGGAACUAUGUACUCAAAUAUCACCUCAAAUAAGAUGAGGUCUUUCUGAGAGAAAAGAGAUGUUGAUGCACGUGACGGGGAGGGCAUAGGAGAGGGUUGAUAUAAAAUGCAAUUACAGCCUCUUAUGCUUUCCAAAGUGGGGGAUGAUUCAAUGAUUCCUGACUGGUCCACAGCCAUAUAUCAAUUGAGGUUAUAAUACUAAUUUGAAUUGCAAAUCUCUGAAAAGAAGGGGACAAGCUAAGGAGAUAAAAUUUAACAGGCCUCUUCCUCCUGCUUGCCACCUCUCAGUCACAAGACGGCUGCUGCGACUCAGGCUCAUGUCCCAAUUCAAGGCAGCAAGAAGGCCAUGGAGCGGCACCUGCCAGCAGAUGCCCCUGCAGGCCAUCUCUCCAGGCUCAGGAACCUAAAGAAGAAUCUACCCAGAUGUGGUGGCUCACACCUGUGAUCCCACCACUUUGGGAGGCUGAGGCAAGAGGAUCACUUGAGCCCAGGAGUUGGAGACCAACGUAGGCAAUACAGCAAGACUCCCAUCUCUACAAAAAAAAAAAAGAAAGAAAGAAAGAAAGAAAAGAAAUUAGCUGGCUGUGGUGCUGCACAUUUGUAAUACCAGCUACUCUAGAGGCUGAGGCUGGAGGAUCACUUGAGCCGAGGAGUGAGCUAUGACCACACCAUUGCAUUUCAGCCUCAGUGACAGAGCAAGGCCCUGCCUCAAAAAAAAAAAAAAAAAAAGAAAAGAAUAAGAUAAAAUAAAUAAUACAGGAGAACCUAGUGCUCAGGUUCUCUAGUGAAGAGGAAGGCAAAAGAUAGAAAGGUCAGACAAACUUAAACAUGCAUUCCAAGAUCGGCCUGGGUCCGCCCGUAGACAUGAAGGAAUCUUCUGGUGGAAAGUUAGGCAGGGAAACGGACACUGCUAUGAGCAUGUCUUCCUGGGCAGCUUGCGAUGGUCAGGAGGAGGUGGUUGUUCCUCAGCAGCGGUGCUUCCGAUGAAGCCCCAUGUUGUAGUGGAAGACAAGCCAUUCCUGUCUGACCUUCUGUGCCGCGCCUAGGCUUCCAAAAGCUGCUAUCGCCAAGAUCCAUUUCCGUUCACCUUUAAACUGCUUGUUAUGGGGAGGAGUCAGCCAGCCAUGAUGCAUACUUGUUACAGAAAGAAACGCCCACGUUGAGCUCUCCUGAUAAGAAGAGAGAGCAUUCGUCAUUGUCUGUAUCUGUCAUCUGAAGAAGGAACCAAUGUCAAAAAUCCCACACAUUCUCCUCCCGCAAGUCACAGAGUAAGCCUCCCAUUCUUGAGCUCGUUCAUUCACCAAACACAUUCUGAUCUCUCCUGUGCCCAGGCGGUGGGAUUCAGAGAAGAAGUGCUGCCUAGUAGUCAGCACCCAGUGCCAGGAAAACAGGACAAGGGGAGUUGUCGGGGGAGACACCAGGAUUGAAGUUGCUUUUACUAAAAAACAUUUUUUUUAUCUUGUUAACAAAUAUAUUUACCAUGGUACAUGGUGGCAAUGCUCUCAGUUUUAAAACACAGCAAUUAUCUUCCAGUGGUCACUAAUUAAUCCAGGUGUGGCUAGGAACAGCUGGAUACUGAUCUGUGUGAUGAUGGCACCUCUAUCAUCAGGCUGCCAUUGCUGGCACUUUGGGCAAGGUGGACUGGGGUUCUGCUCUGGGGCUGUGUGCCCAAGGUUUACACCUCACUAUUUUACAGCACACUGGAGCUCCCAACAGUCCCCGAAGGUCUGGAGAUCACCAAUGGGCAGGAGAGAAGGGAGGGGUUUAGACAUCAGGGAGCCAAGUUCUACAGCAUCUUCUAGAUCCAGGCUAUCGAGCACUUGAAAUGCGGCUAAGUCUGAAUUGAGAUGUGCUGUGUGUAAGAGACACAACAGAUUUUGAAGACAGUAUGAGAAAAAGAACAUAAAAUAUCUCAGUAAUUUUAUAUUGAUUACAUGUUGAAAUGAUACUAAUUUUUGAUAUACUGGGUUAAAUAAAAUAGAUUAUUAAAAUUAACUUCAUCUCUUUCUUUUGACCUUUUCAACAUGGCCAUUAGAAAAUUCAGCUUACGUAGUAGGCUCACUUUCUACUGCACAGCCCUGGAUGUCAAACUCAAUGAGAGCGGUGUCUGUACCUGUAUCUGCUCAUCCAGUCCAUAAAAGUCAGCACAGUACCUAGCACUGAAAGUACUCCAUAAAUAUUUGAGGGAUGGACAAAAGUACAAGUGAACAAAUAGCAUCUGCUCCUCAUUUCUGGUAAGUCAAGGAGCAGUUCUACCCUCUCCUU
rnacentral:lncRNA from 1 species